rnacentral:rRNA from 1 species
GUGAGGAAUAUUGGACAAUGGGCGCAAGCCUGAUCCAGCCAUGCCGCGUGAGUGAUGAAGGCCUUAGGGUUGUAAAGCUCUUUCGUCCGGGAAGAUAAUGACUGUACCGGAAGAAUAAGCCCCGGCUAACUUCGUGCCAGCAGCCGCGGUAAUACGAAGGGGGCUAGCGUUGUUCGGAAUCACGUGGCGUAAAUCGCACGUAGGCGGACCAUUAAGUCAGGGGUGAAAGCCUGGAGCUCAACUCCAGAACUGCCUUUGAUACUGAUGGUCUCGAGUAUGGAAGAGGUUGGUGGAACUGCGAGUGUAGAGGUGAAAUUCGUAGAUAUUCGCAAGAACACCGGUGGCGAAGGCGGCCAACUGGUCCAUUACUGACGCUGAGGUGCGAAAGCGUGGGGAGCAAACAGGAUUAGAUACCCGGGUAGUCC